CUACGGGCUGCACCAGUGAGGAAUAUUGCACAAUGGGGGGAACCCUGAUGCAGCAACGCCGCGUGGAGGAUGACGCAUUUCGGUGUGUAAACUCCUUUUAUAUGUCAAGAAAAUGACGGUAGCAUAUGAAUAAGCACCGGCUAACUCCGUGCCAGCAGCCGCGGUAAUACGGAGGGUGCAAGCGUUACUCGGAAUCACUGGGCGGAAAGGACGCGUAGGCGGGUUGGAAAGUCAGGUGUGAAAUCCUACAGCUUAACUGUAGAGCUGCAGUUGAAACUUCUAAUCUAGAGUAUGGGAGGGGGAGAUGGAAUUAGUGGUGUAGGGGUAAAAUCCGUAGAUAUCACUAGGAAUACCUAAAGCGAAGGCGAUCUCCUGGAACAUUACUGACGCUAAGGCGUGAAAGCGUGGGGAGCAAACAGGAUUAGAUACCCGGGUAGUC
rnacentral:rRNA from 1 species